rnacentral:rRNA from 1 species
CAUAACGUCGCAAGACCAAAGAGGGGGACCUUCGGGCCUCUUGCCAUCGGAUGUGCCCAGAUGGGAUUAGCUAGUAGGUGGGGUAACGGCUCACCUAGGCGACGAUCCCUAGCUGGUCUGAGAGGAUGACCAGCCACACUGGAACUGAGACACGGUCCAGACUCCUACGGGAGGCAGCAGUGGGGAAUAUUGCACAAUGGGCGCAAGCCUGAUGCAGCCAUGCCGCGUGUAUGAAGAAGGCCUUCGGGUUGUAAAGUACUUUCAGCGGGGAGGAAGGGAGUAAAGUUAAUACCUUUGCUCAUUGACGUUACCCGCAGAAGAAGCACCGGCUAACUCCGUGCCAGCAGCCGCGGUAAUACGGAGGGUGCAAGCGUUAAUCGGAAUUACUGGGCGUAAAGCGCACGCAGGCGGUUUGUUAAGUCAGAUGUGAAAUCCCCGGGCUCAACCUGGGAACUGCAUCUGAUACUGGCAAGCUUGAGUCUCGUAGAGGGGGGUAGAAUUCCAGGUGUAGCGGUGAAAUGC